GAAAUGCGAUAAGUAAUGUGAAUUGCAGAAUUCAGUGAAUCAUCGAAUCUUUGAACGCACCUUGCGCUCCUUGGUAUUCCUUGGAUCAUGCCUGUUUGAGUAUCAUGAAAUCUUCAAAGUAAAUCUUUUGUUAACUCAAUUGGUUUCUACUUUGAUAUUGGAGGUCUUUGCAGCUUCACACCUGCUCCUCUUUGUUCAUUAGCUGGAUCUCAGUGUUAUGCUUGGUUCCACUCGGCGUGAUAAGUUAUCUAUCGCUGAGGACACUGUAAAAGGUGGCCAAGGUAAAUGCAGAUGAACCGCUUCUAAUAGUCCAUUGACUUGGACAAUACUUUUAUGAUCUGAUCUCAAAUCAGGUAGGACUACCCGCUGAACUUAAGC
rnacentral:misc_RNA from 1 species